GUGAGGUGGAGCGAAUCACAAAAACUCGGUCUCAGUUCAGAUUGCAGGCUGCAACUCGCCUGCAUGAAGUUGGAAUCGCUAGUAAUCGCGGAUCAGCAUGCCGCGGUGAAUACGUUCCCGGGCCUUGUACACACCGCCCGUCACACCAUGAGAGUCGGGAACACCCGAAGUCCGUAGUCUAACUUUCACGAGAGGACGCGGCCGAAGGUGGGUUCGAUAAUUGGGGUGAAGUCGUAACAAGGUAAC
rnacentral:rRNA from 1 species